rnacentral:rRNA from 1 species
GAGUUUGAUCAUGGCUCAGAUUGAACGCUGGCGGCAUGCCCUUACACAUGCAAGUCGAACGGCAGCACGGGAGCUUGCUCCUGGUGGCGAGUGGCGAACGGGUGAGUAAUGCAUCGGAACGUAUCCUGGAGUGGGGGAUAACGUAGCGAAAGUUACGCUAAUACCGCAUAUUCUGUGAGCAGGAAAGCGGGGGACCUUCGGGCCUCGCGCUCUUGGAGCGGCCGAUGUCGGAUUAGCUAGUUGGUGAGGUAAAGGCUCACCAAGGCGACGAUCCGUAGCAGGUCUGAGAGGAUGAUCUGCCACACUGGAACUGAGACACGGUCCAGACUCCUACGGGAGGCAGCAGUGGGAAUUUGGACAAUGGGGGCAACCCUGAUCCAGCCAUGCCGCGUGAGUGAAGAAGGCCU